ACGAUCGACGAUGACAAGCUGAUCUCCUACAUCCUCUCCGACCUCGACUACAACUACAACUUCAUUGUUUCUACCCUUGUCUCUAGGGUGGAACCACUUAGCGUUGGAGAGGUGUACUCCCAACUGCUAGCGUUCGAGC
rnacentral:snoRNA from 1 species